GAUGAACGCUGGCGGCGUGCCUAAUACAUGCAAGUCGAGCGAACGGACGAGAAGCUUGCUUCUCUGAUGUUAGCGGCGGACGGGUGAGUAACACGUGGAUAACCUACCUAUAAGACUGGGAUAACUUCGGGAAACCGGAGCUAAUACCGGAUAAUAUUUUGAACCGCAUGGUUCAAAAGUGAAAGACGGUCUUGCUGUCACUUAUAGAUGGAUCCGCGCUGCAUUAGCUAGUUGGUAAGGUAACGGCUUACCAAGGGAACGAUGCAUAGCCGACCUGGGAGGGGGAUCGGCCACACUGGAACGUAGACACGGUCCAGACUCCUAAGGGAGGCAGCAGUAGGGAAUCGUACGCAAUGGGGGAAAACCUGACGGAGCAAGGCCGCGUGAGUGAUGAAGGUCUUCGGAUCGGAAAACUCUGUUAUUAGGGAAGAACAUAUGUGUAAGUAACUGUGCACAUCUUGACGGUACCUAAUCAGAAAGCCACGGCUAACUACGUG
rnacentral:rRNA from 1 species